rnacentral:rRNA from 1 species
GGUGAAAAGCACCCCGGAAGGGGAGUGAAAUAGAACCUGAAACCGUGUGCUUACAAGUAGUCAGAGCCCGUUAAUGGGUGAUGGCGUGCCUUUUGUAGAAUGAACCGGCGAGUUACGAUUUGAUGCAAGGUUAAGCAGUAAAUGUGGAGCCGUAGCGAAAGCGAGUCUGAAUAGGGCGUUUAGUAUUUGGUCGUAGACCCGAAACCAGGUGAUCUACCCUUGGUCAGGUUGAAGUUCAGGUAACACUGAAUGGAGGACCGAACCGACUUACGUUGAAAAGUGAGCGGAUGAACUGAGGGUAGCGGAGAAAUUCCAAUCGAACCUGGAGAUAGCUGGUUCUCUCCGAAAUAGCUUUAGGGCUAGCCUCAAGUGAUGAUUAUUGGAGGUAGAGCACUGUUUGGACGAGGGGCCCCUCUCGGGUUACCGAAUUCAGACAAACUCCGAAUGCCAAUUAAUUUAACUUGGGAGUCAGAACAUGGGUGAUAAGGUCCGUGUUCGAAAGGGAAACAGCCCAGACCACCAGCUAAGGUCCCAAAAUAUAUGUUAA